GAUGAGGAACGUAGCGAAAUGCGAUAAGUAAUGUGAAUUGCAGAAUUCAGUGAAUCAUCGAAUCUUUGAACGCACAUUGCGCCCGCCAGUAUUCUGGCGGGCAUGCCUGUUCGAGCGUCAUUACAACCCUCAGGCCCCCGGGCCUGGCGUUGGGGAUCGGCGGAAGCCCCCUGCGGGCACAACGCCGUCCCCCAAAUACAGUGGCGGUCCCGCCGCAGCUUCCAUUGCGUAGUAGCUAACACCUCGCAACUGGAGAGCGGCGCGGCCACGCCGGAAAACACCCAACUUCUGAAUGUUGACCUCGAAUCAGGUAGGAAUACCCGCUGAGCUUAAGCAUAUCAAUAAGCGGAGGA
rnacentral:misc_RNA from 1 species